UUUCUAUUUUUCAGUUUCUGUGCUGCUUUACUCUGUGGCUCUGGGGUCCAUAUUAAGGGAUGCUGAGCUCUGUUCACAGAGCAGGGAGACAAAACAAUUCCUGCUCUAGCUGGGAACCCAAGGACAAAUAAUCCAAACCUCAGGCCCAAGAGCAUAAACAACGUGGACUGAAGAGAGAAAAACAAGAAGGAUGGGACUUCAUCAGCUAAAGCUUUAAUUGGACAAUUAACUCCAAGAUGCAAAUGGACCAGAACUGAUAAAAGUGACAGACCUCGGGACCUCGUCCAUUUUGUGGCCAUUUUGGUUCAUCUUGGGCGUAGCCCUGGCCGGGCUCUUGUGCUGCCCAAGGUGGAUCCAUGGAGGCUUUUAACAAAUGCCUGCUUUAUGGUGUAACUGUGUCUGGCCUCUGCUCCAGGUCAGCCUUCUGAAGCCAUCAGUUGGUGGCAAGCACGAAGGGAGCCGAGGCACCUGGGCAAGGGCUGGAGCAGAGGCAGAGGAAGGUGCAGCUGCUGCCCCCCAGCCCGCGGCACUGGCGGGGCCCAGGUGCGGUGCAGAGGGUGCGGGAGGCCAAGAAGCUCGGGAGGAGCGAGAGAGGUGGGAGCGGCUGAAGGGGAGCUGUGUUUCUCAGGUGAGAGCGGUGGAAGGGGUGUUUUGUGCUCUGGAGCGCAGCGGGUGCGGUGCUCGGUGUGCCCCGGUGCCAGGGAGGGCGGGCGCUGUGAGAGCGGGGCUGGAUUGCGCUGCUGGGCUUGGCGUGGGGGCAGCAGCGGUGGCGCAGGGGAUCGUUCCCGCACCGCCACUCCGGAGCGCCGCGAUUGGAAUCGUGCUCUUUCUCUCUCCUUGGUUCUUUUAAUUUAUCCUCGUAACUGUUCGAAAUCGGUGUGUAUAUUCUGCUGCGAGUGCUGUAGUGAUAAUAUCCCGAGAGAGAGUCCCCUGAGAUUAGCACUGAGAAACGGGGGAAACCUCGGGGUGUGUGGGGGGAGGAGCCUUGUUUUUCAAAUGCAAAUUUAUCAUACUCUCAGAAAAAGAUCUGGCCGCGAUAUGAACUAGAGGACAAUCAGACGAGGCCCGAGUGUGGUUGUUUGGAUAAGAGAUCAAGUUUGAUUUCCCGUAGACGCCAGGAUAAAUGCUCAGGGUGCUCAGCAACCCUGAACGCCGGGGAGCGGCUUCGGGGGAUGACGUCAGCGAUGCAGGCAGAAGCGCAGCCCGGGUUAAAAGACGCAGCAAAUCCUGCGUGGGGCUUCCUAGGAUCGGGGGUAGGCAAAAGAGAUUAUAUGGUACAACAGGGCCAGCCGAAUCAGAGAGUUCCUGCUCCAGUACCUCCGAGGAAGAUGAAAUUGAUGAACUCAUUGCGGCUUUGAGCAAGCGAAGGAGGGGAAAGAUGGUGAGAAAAGCCAUCAAAGAGCAUAGCCCCAUAGUGAAACAUAUUAGAUAAAAAAAGAGAAAAGAACCGGUUUUACAAGCCCCACUAUGACAAGCAGUUGGCAGCCAGGGGCCGAUAUAUGUCCUCUCUUUCUGCCAGCUCAUUCCUUUCCUCCAAUUCAGAUCUCACUUUUUGGUGUGCCUUGAUGUGCAUGAUGGUUACCUUUUCAGGCAGCUGGAUUGUCUCCAACAGUUUUAUUAUCUCUUGUGUAUGUUUAAUACUUUUUCCUUGUGAGUUCAACAGUCCUCUUUCCUUCCAGAUAGCUCCAUGUGCAUGGACUACCCCAAAUGCAUACCUUGAGUCUGUAUAAAUAUUGAUUUUCUUUCCUUUUGCCAGCUCUAAAGCCCGGGUUAAGGCAAUUAUUUCAGCCUCCUCUGCUGAGGUGUUGGUUGGUGAUGAUCCAGACUCUAUUACCAUUA